rnacentral:lncRNA from 1 species
CAAUAAGUUUAGGAACUUGUACAUGAAUAAUUGGCAGGGAGAGAGACUCAGGGUUGAGAGGUCAGUUGGAAAGCCUGGUCAGGCAUGAGCUGAUUAAAGUCUGAACUAGACUGCGGGCAAUAAGAAUCAACGGGAAGACAAAAUGCAAGACACAUUUUUAAGGAAGGAAUGACAAGAUUUUGAGCUCUAUUGGAGGUUAGAGGUGAAGGAAAGGGAAGAGUAAAAGACUACUAGGAAGUUUCAGACCUGGAUGAUUUAAGAAUAAGGUUGUCACAACCAGGAAUAGAAAGUCAGAAGGAAGAGCCAACUUGAGGAGGAAAAUGAGUAACUUCCAUUUUCAACUCGUUGAGUCUGAGAUGACAGAAUGUCCUGGGAAGAGCAGAGUGCCUUGCACAUGCAUCCAAGAAAUAUUUGCUCAAUUGACUAGAAUUAUCAACUCAGUCUCAGAGAGUUGGAAAGAGUGAGAAGCUGAGCGAAGGUGGCACUCUCUUACUCAGGCUUGUCCCUCAGGAGUUGGCGACAGAAGAGCAUGGCUUGAGCAGCAGUGCCUAAGUCUGCGCCUGGGAUCCGAACCGGCGAACCCCAGGCCGCCAAAG